rnacentral:rRNA from 1 species
GAUGAACGCUGGCGGUAUGCCUAACACAUGCAAGUCGUACGAGAGUUUUUAACUCUAGUGGCGGACGGGUGAGUAACACGUGAGAAUUUGCCUUUAGGAGGGGGAUAACAAUUGGAAACGAAUGCUAAUACCCCAUAUGCUUUUGAGUGAAAUGGAUUUUAUCCGCCUAGAGAUGGGCACGCGCAAGAUUAGCUAGUUGGUGAGGUAACGGCUCACCAAGGCAAUGAUCUUUAGGGGGCCUGAGAGGGUGAUCCCCCACACUGGUACUGAGACACGGUCCAGACUCCUACGGGAGGCAGCAGUGGGGAAUAUUGCACAAUGGGGGAAACCCUGAUGCAGCCAUGCCGCGUGUGUGAAGAAGGCCUUCGGGUUGUAAAGCACUUUCAGUGGGGAGGAAGGGGUGAUGCCUAAUACGCAUCAUCAUUGACGUUACCCACAGAAGAAGCACCGGCUAACUCCGUG